rnacentral:rRNA from 1 species
GCCGCGUGGGUGAAGAAGGCCUUCGGGUUGUAAAGCCCUUUUGUUGGGAAAGAAAAGCAGUCGAUUAAUACUCGAUUGUUCUGACGGUACCCAAAGAAUAAGCACCGGCUAACUUCGUGCCAGCAGCCGCGGUAAUACGAAGGGUGCAAGCGUUACUCGGAAUUACUGGGCGUAAAGCGUGCGUAGGUGGUGAUUUAAGUCCGUUGUGAAAGCCCUGGGCUCAACCUGGGAAUUGCAGUGGAUACUGGGUCACUAGAGUGUGGUAGAGGGUAGCGGAAUUCCCGGUGUAGCAGUGAAAUGCGUAGAGAUCGGGAGGAACAUCUGUGGCGAAGGCGGCCACCUGGACCAACACUGACACUGAGGCACGAAAGCGUGGGGAGCAAACAGGAUUAGAUACCCUGGUAGUCCACGCCCUAAACGAU